GGCCGGUUGGCGAAAUGGUAUCGCGUCACUUUCCGGUCCCACUGGAGCAUGGUGAAGAUUGCGGGUUCGAGUCCCGUGCUGGUCG